GUGUAAUUAAUGAAUAUAAUAUACAAGUUUCACUUUUUGAAUGGAAUUAGUGAAAUAAAUCAACUUUUUGAUGAUUAUAUGACCAGCACCUGUAUGUCUGUUAAUAAAGAAAAUGACUUGAUCUUACACUCUCAGAAAAAAGGUACAAAAGCGGCCACUGGGGCAGUACCUUUUAAAAAGGUACAAUUUUGUACCUUUUAGGUACUAAAAUCAUGUACCUUUUUGGUACUAAUAUCAUGUACACUUUAGGUACUUAUAUGUAUCUUUAAGGUACUUAUAUGUAUCUUUAAGGUACAAAGGUGUGCCUUUUGAAAAAGUACCACCCCAAUGAUAGCAUUCAUACCUUUUUUUGAGAGUGUACUCAUUACAACUUCAAGAAUGUGAUAAACAGAUUUUGGAGAUACAUUUGAAUGUAAAAAGCUUUUUAUUUUAAGUAUAAGUGACGAAUGUUAAAUGUGUGACUUUGAUUACAAGUGUGUUAAAAUAAGAACCUCAUUUCUAUACUGUUUUGCAAGCUGGGAUACAGAGAGCAGAAUAACACAAGCCCAAAUAAUGACUGCAGCCUGCAAAAGCAUGAUAUUCAGCUAUUAAUAUUCAAUACCUUUAUCUUAUUUUAAAAAAUCAAAGAACAACUCUUGAUCAUAUAAUGUCCUUAUACCAGUUUUAGUUUAAUCUGAUAUGCAAAAUGGCAUUUAAAUUUUGUAAAUUGUUUUUAUUCUCAUUUGUUGAUUGUUAGACUUGGUUUUGAAUACUAAUGUAAAUAAAUGCUCAUGAACACUGA